rnacentral:rRNA from 1 species
GGGUCAGUAGGUUGGUCGUGCCACCGGUACGUACUGGUCUCACUGAUUCCUCCUUCCUGAAGUACCGUAAUGCCAUUAAUUUGGUGUUGCGGGGAAACAGGACUGUUACUUUGAAAAAUUAGAGUGUUUAAAGCAAUCUAACGCUUGAAUACAUUAGCAUGGAAUAAUGAAAUAGGACGAUCGAUCCUAUUUUGUUGGUUUCUAGGAUUGACGUA